CCUACGGGAGGCAGCAGUGAGGAAUAUUGGUCAAUGGACGAGAGUCUGAACCAGCCAAGUAGCGUGAAGGAUGACUGCCCUAUGGGUUGUAAACUUCUUUUAUAUGGGAAUAAAAUGUUCCACGUGUGGGAUUUUGUAUGUACCAUAUGAAUAAGGAACGGCUAACUCCGUGCCAGCAGCCGCGGUAAUACGGAGGAUCCGAGCGUUAUCCGGAUUUAUUGGGUUUAAAGGGAGCGUAGGUGGAUUGUUAAGUCAGUUGUGAAAGUUUGCGGCUCAAACGUAAAAUUGCAGUUGAAACUGGCAGUCUAGAGUACAGUAGAGGUGGGCGGAAUUCGUGGUGUAGCGGUGAAAUGCUUAGAUAUCACGAAGAACUCCGAUUGCGAAGGCAGUUCUCUGGACUUUAACUGACGCUGAGGCUCGAAAGCGUGGGGAGCAAACAGGAUUAGAUACCCCGGUAGUC
rnacentral:rRNA from 1 species